UGUGGAUCGACCUGGAGCAAAGAAAAACAAGGGCUCACCCUUGUUCUCACCAAAUUCACCAAAUCAACAAGGAAAAGUCGAUGUUUAUCACUUGCAUGUGGUAAAAUUUGGAUCAUUUAUCCAUACCCAAUCAAGUGGUGUGAAGGAAGAAGGUUCGAAUUCUAAGAAAUCGGAAGGAUCACAAGACCGAGAUGGCUGAUGCAAGAAACGCUAACGAAGAUGAUGACACGGCUCGUCAAGAAGUGUUUAACAAAAGGGUCGCGGAGGUAGCGGAAGAGAUUAUGCAAGCUAAUCUUCCACGAUUAGCUCAAGAAGUAGAGAGUCGGGUGUUGGGAGUUGUGGAUGCCAUGAUGACAAGUAAAAUCGAAGAGUUGAAAGAAUUAAUUGAAGGGUCUAAGGGUAAAGGUAAAUCCUCGAUUUAGGCGUAUGGACGGCUUGGAACGUGCACACUUGAUUUACGCCCGCCUUACGCUUCCGUUAUAAAUUACUUUUGAAAUGGGUUAAGUUGUGGUCAUAUGUAUUUUAAGUCUAUGUAGUAUGUUGUUAUCUUGUCGUUGGGUAAAAACUUAGUAGUUGUAGUCAUGUCGUGUCUAACGUAAGAUUUGUCCGUUUUGGGAUUUGUCAAGAUUGUUAAACUUUGAAGUUGUUGUGUAAACAGGUGGUUAAUGGUUUUAAACGAAUAGGUCAUGCCGAAA